GCCGAAGUGGCGGAAUUGGCAGACGCACCGGACUCAAAAUCCGGCGGUGGGCGACCACCGUGUCGGUUCGACCCCGACCUUCGGCA
rnacentral:tRNA from 1 species